CAGGGAUGUUGUCUGGGGCCAGGAGCUGAUCUUGGUUCCGGUUCCAGCUCUGCCACUAACUCACGGAGGGACCCUCGCUGUGCGGGACUCCUCUGGUCUGGAGCUGGUGUACCCCCUCGCAGAGGGAGUCCCGCUGUUCAUGGAGGAGUGUGAGUUCUGAUCACUAUGGGCACCUGCUCUCUCACAAGCAUAACUGUCGUUGCUGGAAAUGACAAGAGAACCAAAGGAGCACUCUGUAAAGUGGACUGAGGAAGGCAGACGGGUUAAGGGCCCCAGGACUGGAGGAACAACACGGCGGCAGGAUGUCUUAGAUCCCACCCACCCACAGAAGAAGGAGACCCAGGCCCAGUUUCUCUAUUAGCCCCAACCUGGCCACAGAAGGCAACCCAGAUAAGGAAAUUGAAGCUCAGAGAGGUACAGUAAGUAGGUUGCUAAAGAUAGCACAGCUAGCAAGCUGGGUAAUCGCGAUUUAUACCUGAGGUUCAGCUGCAAUCCAGACCGCAACCCUCAACACCUCUUGCUUUUCCGUCUCUUCCUCCCAUCUGCUCCUCUCACCUGCCGCUUCCUGCUGGGCCAAGCAGAGCAGGAAACAGGGAAAAAUGACUCCCCUGAGGUGAGAGAUAAUGGGGGCAGCUCCUGGGGCCGGUGAGGGUGAAAGUCCUGUCGCUCGCUGCCCCCUCAGCACCUCGGGCAUCUGCAGAU